CAAAACAAAAGAACCGGACAGCCCGCACCCCACCACUCUCUCCUCUGUCCCGCGUUCCUUAUCCAACCGCAAACGCCACCGCCGCCAGCCCCAACUCCCCGGCGACCCGCCUCCCCCCGCCACCCACCUCCGGCGACGCGCCAAACCCAACGCCUCCCACCUCCGGCGACGAGCCACGCCCACCACGUCCCACCUCCCGCGGCGCGCCGCGCCCACCACUCCCACCUCCGGCCACGCGCCGCGCCCACCACCUCCCACCUCCGGCAACGCGCCGCGCCCACCACCUCCCAACUCCGGCGACGCGCCACGACCACCACACCAUGCCUCCUCUCUCGCGCCACCCGCCGCCCCUAAUAUCUGUAGUCCACCAUUGCUAAAAAUCAUCUUAUGAUUUUUGGACAAUGUUUUGUGCGAUUCAUUUGUUCAUCUUCAGAACUUGGAGAUAUUAAGUCUACUUUUUUCUAUGAUGAAGGUACAAAUGAGCUCCAUCUUCAAUGGUUAUCCCCCUAGUGCUUCAAAGAUGCCUAUUUUGUUUUCCCCAUGGCGCAGCGAGGAUGAUAGUGUUGACACUUACAAAAUUGUUUUCUGUGUUGCUAUGCUGUCAGUCCAAAGUGUGGUGAAGAUGCAGCCCUGGGUGUGUAGAUGAUGCGGUGUGUGUGUGUGCAUGAUGAUUGGUAGCUGUUGUGUGUGUGCAGUGUACAUCUGAUGAUAGCGAGUAGGCGGCAAGUGUACUAGUGAGCAGCUACUGAACUGAUUCUAACACUGCAACAUUAAUCCACUCUGCCUCCUCCGAUGAGUUCUUCAGUCCAAGUUCUCCCACGAUUCCGUCUCUGGUUUUGUUUCCCUUAACAUUGGUAAGAUAAAAGAUCAUUCAACUUCAAAUCUGUUUGGACUGAUAGUUCAACUUCUUUCGUACAAAAGGUUCAAAAAGUUUUGUACCUGAAAAUGCACAUAUUUGGAGUGCGCGAAUAUAUUUAGACUUCUACAAACCCCAAAACUAUGCAGAGUUAGGAUUGUUACUACCUUGUUUCUUACUAUCGAUUCAUUUGAGAAGGUAUUAAGUUGGUACAUGUAGUUGGACAUCUCAAUAUACUGUAAUGUGUUUUUUUGCAUAGUACCUUGAAAUUAUGUUAGCAAUUCUGAAUUACGAUUGUGCUUGAAACUGAAAAUGAUUCUGUAACUUCUCAAACCUCGUGGACUUGAUGCUUAAAAUACUUCCAGAACGAAUUGAUUCUUGUUCUUUCAUGAUCAGUUCAGCAAAUAAUUUUUUAGUUCAUUCCAAUUUCAAAUUCUCAUUUUAGUUUAGUCAAAGUUUCUUAUUUUUGUUCAGUACAAUAUCCAAGUUUAUUUAAGUUCAAUUCUUAUUUUAGUUUUAGUUCAUUUCAAUUCUUAUUUUAGUAAAUCUGUAGUCUAUGGAUUUUAUUUGGCCUAGAUUGCUAGAUGUACUAACUUGUUGUGCCAAGGCAAUCUAAAACAUUAAGUGUUGCUACUAUAAUUCGUUCAUUGUUUCACGCCUCCCCGCAGACGCGCGCCCCCACCUCCCCGCCGACGCCUACAAAUUAGAGUUCACUAAAAAAUGUGCUUGAAAUUUCAAUUUUUACGAACCAGAUAAUUUCUUAUUUACAGAUCUAAAUCGUGCGACUUAUCCAACUAGCUUAUGUUGUUUCUGACAUUGCUCUAAACCAUUUCUCAGUAAUAUUUUGUACGUAGCAAUGGACUUGGAAGGAUUUCAGUCCAUCACGCUAGUUGUCAAAAAGGUGUUGUUUGCUUUUGAAUGUAUAUGAUGACUUGAUUACCUAGGAAUUUAAACAUGGUAACUGUUUGCAGAAUAAUAUUUUGUAUAUAGGUACUGUCAUUUCUACGAACAGCCAGUUCCAUUAUACCUGUUGUUCGCCAUCGACGGUGCUGCCAUUUGAGUUUAUGGCUCUGUCCAUGGAGGCUUCCUAGAAGUUUCUCUGUUUCCAUGUAUGGUGUUCCAUGACAGAGGUCGUGACGCGUGAGGUUCCUUGGGUUAGGAUUGGUUUACUUUGCAUCUCAUAGUAGGAGGACAGGCACGACGUGCAUUCAGUCUCAGAACCUGAAACUAACCUGACUGAGGCAUAAGGAAGGAAGGGCCACCGUCCGAGGCGACGCGUACAUAUGUACACCCGGGAUUUAGGACAAGACACAACACCCGCUGCGGCGUACGUAGUACACUGAGGACUCCCUCGUCACUGGCAAAGACAAGAAAACUAGCAGCGUCCUUAGCCAGGUGUUCACGGUGAGCGGCUACUGAACUUGUACGGCUGCUGCUUUUGGACUGCCCAGGAAGCACAUCAUUAUAGAAGGCAAAAUCUGUAACCUAUAUAAUUCAUGUUUGUUCUGACCUCUUGUUCCUCUAAAGCAGCCAAAUACCGGUGCACCUAGUAGUUUAAAAUUA